GAAAUGCGAUAAGUAAUGCGAAUUGCAGAAUCCGUGAGUCAUCGAAUCUUUGAACGCACAUUGCGCCCUCUGGUAACCCGGAGGGCAUGCCUGUUCGAGCGUCAUUACAACCCUCAGGCCCCCGGGCCUGGCGUUGGGGAUCGGCGGAAGCCCCCUGCGGGCACAACGCCGUCCCCCAAAUACAGUGGCGGUCCCGCCGCAGCUUCCAUUGCGUAGUAGCUAACACCUCGCAACUGGAGAGCGGCGCGGCCACGCCGUAAAACACCCAACUUCUGAAUGUUGACCUCGAAUCAGGUAGGAAUACCCGCUGAACUUAAGC
rnacentral:misc_RNA from 1 species